CUGCACUCAGUUUACAUUGGGGAGUGGUAACCGGUAACACUCUGCACCAGAGCUGCCGUUGCCAGGAAGUGACGGUGCCUAGUUACUAGCCUCCAUGUCACGCUGAUAACAGCCAGCUGUAGCCAGCUAAAGAACAUUUUGUUUAUAUUGCAACUUUGCGUUUCAGUUACUCGUCUUCUCAACGGAACACAUUCUCGCUAAAGAAGUAAAUGCAUCUGUAACGUGAAGCAUUGUUUAUUGGGCGACCCUUCAAAAGGUCCAAUGUGCUAAGGAAGACAGCCAUGUUUAGCCCCGGGGAGCUAGAAGGUGAAGUGGAUCAUUCGUUUUUCGAUAGCGACUGUGAUGAUAGCAGCAGAGAUGGAGUGGAUCAGCUGGAGAAAAGUUUGAAGGCUGAAAAGGAGAGUCCACCAACACACGAGGGGCUUCAUGCAAAACAGACUGAAAAUACAAAAAGUGGCUGGUCCCUGAGAACUGAUGGAACAAAAAGAAACCUGAAGCCAGUAAGCAACAGAGCAGAAAGGAAGGAGAACAGCUGUCAAUCAAAGAAAGAAGAGAAGAGCAGGCCAUCCGCUGUAUCCUCUGUUGCCUGUACAUCAGACAAAGCCCUCAGUAAUAGCAGUGAUAGUGAGGAGGACUCUAAUUUGCACUCUAAAAGACUCAAUGGAACGUUUAUGGCUUUGUUGGCUGAAGCCAGAGAGGUAGCUAAUAAGGAUAUGUACAGCCAGAGUCCAAAUGAGUCUGAAGAAGAAGCAUUGCCAUCUAAACUCUCAGGCUUGAAAGGAAGAAAUAAACGAUCUCCCAAAAAACUGAUAAGAAAUCGGGGAACCCGAAGUCCAUCCCCCACGUCAACCGAGAGCAGCGUAGACAUAGACUCAGAAAGCUCCUUCAGCAGUAGCAAUGGGAGAAGCUGUUUAGAAUCCCCCACCUUUCCCAGGCCCAACAAACCUUCUGUAUCCCCUGGAGGGAGAGGGACUCGAGUGGGCUCAGCAGGAUCUCAGGAUGUGACUAUUGGCCAUACAGAGGAGUCAGAAGACACAGUGACAGAUGUAAGCCCCCUCUCAUCUCCUGACUUCAGCCCUCUACAGUCGUUGGACCUGAACCACACAGAGGCCGAAGAGGGAAGCCUUAAAGAGCAGCAGCAGCACCAGGAGAGUGUGCCCUCCAGUGGCCUUAAGGACAUACAUCAAGAUGUAGACUCAGACCAGGAUGUACAUGAGUGCUCGCUCAUUUCAGAGAGUCAGCUUGGAGGUAAACUGGUCUUCCACUGUCCUGGAGGGAGAAACCGGAAGAACUACUCGUUCACCAAUGCUGAGGUCCGACGCAUUGACCGUGAGAACCAGCGACUUCUUCGGGAGCUUUCGCGCCAUUCACCAGGUUCAAGACCAGGAAGUACAGCGAGGAAAAAAAACCAUGUGGCCAACAAGUUGCCUUUUAGUCGUCUCUCUCACAGCGCCCUCAACAGGCAGCGGGAGCAGCAACGCAUCGAGAGGGAGAACCUGGCUCUCCUGAAAAGGCUGGAGUCUGUCAAGCCUACACCUGGCCUAAAGCGUUCAGAGCAACUGGAAGACUACCAGCGACACAUUGGAUAUGCCGGCGCUCCUUCAUACUCUGUCUGUAUGUCCACUGCCAGAAAAGAGAGGUCUUCCAGCAAGACUCCCUCAGGUAAACAAUGAGAACCAGCAGGUGGCACUUCGCUGCUCUUCUCAAAUUGAAGGCUGCAGAUUUACCACACAUGUCUGAGCGGCUGCCAUCAGAUGGUUGCAGAAAUUAAAUUAACAGAAGAAGACUUUUAUACAGUAAAAAGCAGCUGGGGAUGACCGAUGCUGCAGGUCCCAGGACGGACAGUUCUGCCCACCACAGCUCCAGAGCAGUUUCCACUACCACUGACUCCGGGAAAACACCCAUACCCAGGUCAAAAAAAACUCAGUGCAGCUCAACCAGCCUGGUGCUGAGAACUAUGCCAGAUAUCUAAUAUACAAAGAAGCACAUCGCUGGUUACAUUUAGUGAUACUGUAUCUGUUGGUAUCCAUUUAUCACAAAAGGUUAUGUUGCAAAGAAUCUUGCAAAGAAUCUUUUUUUUCACAGGCAUGGGUUCACCAUACCUUUUAGUUCACUUAAUCAACUAUUCAGUGAUUUGUGUUGUGCUGCUUAUCAAUUAUAAAGAA